rnacentral:misc_RNA from 1 species
AUUGAAUCCUCUUUGAAAGUGCUGUGCCCCCGUUACAACUUUAUUAUCACAAUCAAAUCAAAGCCGUUGCUGUAAAAAGAAAAAUAAUUUACUUUUGCUUGAUCCAAACUAGCUUACUAAUGUUCCUUGAUUGUCACCUCCGCAUUAUCUGUGUUUGUAGUAGCAUUUGUUAUUAUUGGGUUUUGAGAGCUUCUAUCCUCUUCUGAUAGCUGAAAUUUUUAAUUGGUUGUUUUAGGGUAUCAA